rfam:Treponema berlinense strain ATCC BAA-909 genome assembly, contig: EI67DRAFT_scaffold00008.8
GGGGGUGCACCGGUUUCGACGACUGUGAAUAAUGCACUUACUGCAUGUGGGAGUGAAGGUUCCCCAAACUGACACAAAAAUAACUGCAAUUUUCGCAAGAAAAGAAGAAGAAGUUGUUGAAGCUUCUUCUGCAGAAGCUCUCGCUGCUUAGUCUGCGUUAGCCGGAACUCUUGGGGUGCUGUUCCUAACUUUAAGACGUUCUGUUACAAACAGGGACUUGCCAUAAAUCAUUUCAGCCGGAUUUGUGGGACUUUUUAGGAUGAAUACGGAGACAAUGCUUGUUAUGCUGCCAAGUGUUUCCCGACAACCAGUUCGCAUAACUAAACAUGUAGAUGUAUUUGGAUUACACUUUCGGACGGGGGUUCAAUUCCCCCCAUCUCCACUU